GAUGAACGCUGGCGGCGUGCCUAAUACAUGCAAGUCGAGCGAACAGACGAGGAGCUUGCUCCUCUGACGUUAGCGGCGGACGGGUGAGUAACACGUGGAUAACCUACCUAUAAGACUGGGAUAACUUUGGGAAACCGGAGCUAAUACCGGAUAAUAUAUUGAACCGCAUGGUUCAAUAGUGAAAGACGGUUUUGCUGUCACUUAUAGAUGGAUCCGCGCCGCAUUAGCUAGUUGGUAAGGUAACGGCUUACCAAGGCGACGAUGCGUAGCCGACCUGAGAGGGUGAUCGGCCACACUGGAACUGAGACACGGUCCAGACUCCUACGGGAGGCAGCAGUAGGGAAUCUUCCGCAAUGGGCGAAAGCCUGACGGAGCAACGCCGCGUGAGUGAUGAAGGUCUUCGGAUCGUAAAACUCUGUUAUUAGGGAAGAACAAAUGUGUAAGUAACUAUGCACGUCUUGACGGGACCUAAUCAGAAAGCCACGGCUAACUACGU
rnacentral:rRNA from 1 species